UACGGGGGGUGCGAGCGUUGUCCGGAAUCACUGGGCGUAAAGGGUGCGUAGGUGGGUCUGUAAGUCAGUGGUGAAAUCUCCGUGCUUAACAUGGAAACUGCCAUUGAUACUAUAGGUCUUGAAUCUUCUGGAGGUUAGCGGAAUAUGUCAUGUAGCGGUGAAAUGCUUAGAUAUGACAUAGAACACCAAUUGCGAAGGCAGCUAGCUACAGGGGUAUUGACACUGAGGCACGAAAGCGUGGGGAUCAAACAGG
rnacentral:rRNA from 1 species